CCCUUAGAUGUUCUGGGCCGCACGCGCGCUACGCUGACACGUUCAUCAAGUCUAUAACCUUGACCGAGAGGUCUGGGUAAUCUUUUAAAAACGUGUCGUGCUGGGGAUAGAUUAUUGCAAUUAUUAAUCUUCAACGAGGAAUUCCUAGUAAACGCAAGUCAUCAACUUGCAUUGAUUACGUCCCUGCCCUUUGUACACACCGCCCGUCGCUACUACCGAUUGAAUGAUUUAGUGAGUACCAGGGACCGAGCGCUUUGGUUGGGUUUCCUUCCCUAGCGCUUGGGAACUGUCGCAAACUUGACCAUUUAGAGGAAGUAAAAGUCGUAACA
rnacentral:rRNA from 1 species